AUGAAAAUGGACUAAUAUAGUAUACUAAUGCAGUAUUCACUAGAAUGGCUAAAAUUUAAAAGUUUCACCACACUCAACAUUGGCAGAGGAUAUGGAAGAACUGGAACUCUGUACUGCUGGUAUUUCCCCAAGAAAAAAGAAAUCACAUGUCUACACAAAGACUUGUACAGGAAUAUUAAUGUCAUCUUUAUUUGUAAUUGCCUAAAACUGGAAACAACAAGCAAAUGUCCAUCAGCAGGUAAGUGGAUAUGCUAUGAUACUCACAUGAUACUACACAGCAAUAAAAAGGAAUGAACUCCUGCUACAUGAAGCAACAUGGAUGAAUCUCAAAAUAAUUAUGCUGAGAAGACAGACAAAAAGACUGACAAAAAAAUCAUACAUACUGUAUGAUUCCAUCACUAAAAAAGUCCUAGAAAAUGUAAACUAAUUGGCCAGAAGGUGAAUUAAUGGUUACCUUGGGUCAGGGGCUGGUGCCAGAGAGAGAUGGAUGACAAAGAGACAUAAGAAAGUUUUUGGGGAUGAUGAAUAUGUUGGUUAUUUUGAUUGUGGUGAUAUUCUUAUAAAUAUAUAUAUAUGUCAAAAUUCAUCCAAG
rnacentral:lncRNA from 10 species